GUGGGGAAUAUUGCACAAUGGGGGAAACCCUGAUGCAGCGACGCCGCGUGAGCGAAGAAGUAUUUCGGUAUGUAAAGCUCUAUCAGCAGGGAAGAAAAUGACGGUACCUGAGUAAGAAGCUCCGGCUAAAUACGUGCCAGCAGCCGCGGUAAUACGUAUGGAGCAAGCGUUAUCCGGAUUUACUGGGUGUAAAGGGAGCGCAGGCGGCCAGGCAAGUCUGAUGUGAAAUACCGGGGCUCAACCCCGGAACUGCAUUGGAAACUGUCAGGCUGGAGUGUCGGAGAGGCAGGCGGAAUUCCUGGUGUAGCGGUGAAAUGCGUAGAUAUCAGGAGGAACACCAGUGGCGAAGGCGGCCUGCUGGACGAUGACUGACGCUGAGGCUCGAAAGCGUGGGGAGCAAAUAGGA
rnacentral:rRNA from 1 species